rnacentral:rRNA from 1 species
UUAGAGUUUGAUCCUGGCUCAGAAUCAACGCUGGCGGCGUGCCUAACACAUGCAAGUCGCACGAGAAAGGGGCUUCGGCCCUGAGUAAAGUGGCGUACGGGUGAGUAACACGUGAAUCAUCUACCUCCGAGUGGGGAAUAACCUAGAGAAAUCUGGGCUAAUACCGCAUAACACUUACGAGUCAAAGCAGCAAUGCGCUUGGAGAGGAGUUCGCGGCCGAUUAGCUAGUUGGCGGGGUAAUGGCCCACCAAGGCGAUGAUCGGUAUCCGGCCUGAGAGGGCGCACGGACACACUGGAACUGAAACACGGUCCAGACUCCUACGGGAGGCAGCAGUGGGGAAUCUUGCGCAAUGGGGGAAACCCUGACGCAGCAACGCCGCGUGGAGGAUGAAAUCCCUUGGGAUGUAAACUCCUUUCGAUCGGGAAGAUAAUGACGGUACCGAGAGAAGAAGCCCCGGCUAACUUCGUGCCAGCAGCCGCGGUAAUACGAGGGGGGCAAGCGUUGUUCGGAAUUAUUGGGCGUAAAGGGUGCGUAGGCGGUUUGACAAGUCUUAUGUGAAAUCUCUGGGCUCAACCCAGAGUCUGCAUGGGAAACUGUCGGGCUUGAGUAUGGGAGAGGUGAGUGGAAUUUCCGGUGUAGCGGUGAAAUGCGUAGAUAUCGGAAGGAACACCUGUGGCGAAAGCGGCUCACUGGACCAUUACUGACGCUGAUGCACGAAAGCUAGGGGAGCAAACAGGAUUAGAUACCCUGGUAGUCCUAGCCCUAAACGAUGAUUGUUUGAUGUGGCAGGUACCCAAUCCUGCCGUGUCGAAGCUAACGCGAUAAACAAUCCGCCUGGGGAGUACGGUCGCAAGACUGAAACUCAAAGGAAUUGACGGG